rnacentral:rRNA from 1 species
GACCUCGGAUCAGGUAGGAAUACCCGCUGAACUUAAGCAUAUCAAUAAGCGGAGGAAAAGAAACCAACAGGGAUUACCCUAGUAACGGCGAGUGAAGCGGUAACAGCUCAAAUUUGAAAUCUGGCCUUCACGGGUCCGAGUUGUAAUUUGUAGAGGAUGUUUCGGGCAAGGCUCUGGUUUAAAUUUCUUGGAACAGAAUGUCAUGGAGGGUGAGAGUCCCGUCUAGAACCGAUGGCCGCGUCCAUGUGAAACUCCUUCGACGAGUCGAGUUGUUUGGGAAUGCAGCUCAAAAUGGGUGGUAAAUUUCAUCUAAAGCUAAAUAUUGGCCAGAGACCGAUAGCGCACAAGUAGAGUGAUCGAAAGAUGAAAAGCACUUUGAAAAGAGAGUUAAACAGUAUGUGAAAUUGUUGAAAGGGAAGCGCUUGCAACCAG